rnacentral:rRNA from 1 species
UUUAUUGAGAGUUUGAUCCUGGCUCAGGACGAACGCUGGCGGCGUGCUUAACACAUGCAAGUCGAGC